rnacentral:rRNA from 1 species
CAGCAGCCGCGGUAAUACGUAGGUGGCAAGCGUUGUCCGGAAUUAUUGGGCGUAAAGGGAGCGCAGGCGGGCGAGUAAGUCUUUCUUAAAAGUGCGGGGCUCAACCCUGUGAGGGGAGAGAAACUACUCAUCUUGAGUGCAGGAGAGGAAAGCGGAAUUCCUAGUGUAGCGGUGAAAUGCGUAGAUAUUAGGAAGAACACCAGUGGCGAAGGCGGCUUUCUGGACUGUAACUGACGCUGAGGCUCGAAAGCCAGGGGAGCGAACGGGAUUAGAUACCCCCGUAGUCCCUGUCUCUUAUACA